CAGUCCUCAAGCACAAAGAUCUGGACCCCACUGACUUUCAUUGUAUGGACAAAAGCUCUUCGAAAUAUCUUCUUUUGUGUUCCACUGAAGAAACAAAGUCAGGUUUGGAACUACAUGAAGAUGAACUAUGAACAAUUACUUUAAUUACAUUAUUUCUCCACUAAUUUUACCCUGGAUACCUGAUCUUUGCCUGAAAUCUCAUGAUCUCAGAUUCAUUUCUGCACAUGGCACAUCAGGGAAAAUCUCACAGAGAGCUCACAUUCAUCACAACUCGAGCACAUCCUGCCUGGAGUCCGUUUCAGGAAAGAGUGGGUCACCGCAGCAUUAUGUAAUGGGCUCUUUGCUGUCAUGGCAACGCUGUGGGAACUGGAACUGUGUAUUCGUGUGGCAGGAGGCUAUGGCGUGUGUUGACAGAAUGUUCCUCACGUUGGGUUCCUGGAUGGGCCAGGCUAUAAACACUCAGUCAAGGAGUUCCCUCUCUUCUACAGUUCGGGUUUGGAGUUCUGCGCAGGCAAAGGCAGUCUGAAGUUUCCAUCCUUCAGCUUGGAGCAGCACUUUCCUGAACUCCUGCCAGGAAAAUGUGUGUUGGCUUGGCAGCUCGACUGUGGGAAGACUAUGGGCAAAAACUGAUGGAGUUUUGCGGCAAUGGCUUUAUAUAGCCUUACAGCUCCUCGGGACUCCCUCUUUGGUGUAGACAUAGCGAUAGAGGUAUCAGUAGUAGCAAGAGCUGCGAUUACAGGAACAUAAUGAGUGAAAAUCAGAGACGCCACAAUUUAAACAGAAAAUGGCUUAGUAAUAUGUGCGUAUUAUGUUUUAAAAUUACCCCACUGCAUAUAAACUGUAAAUUCUAUCGAGAUUUUUUUAUUUUUUGGUGAUCCACUCAUGUGAGUCCACUUACAUGAGUUUGACCCCUGGGACCAGUGGUCUGUUACCUCCAGAUAAAGCUUUAAUUUCAUGUUCAGCUGCACAAAGAAAACAAAUGCUAUUCCCCGGUCUCUGCUAAUUACUGCUGUCCCAUUUCAGGAAGAAGUUUGUCCCCCUCCUCCUGUUUUCUCUGUUAUCUACUGUACACGACUUCCUGCAUGAGCACUGAAGCAGGCCGAUCCACUCAGAGAGAGAGAAACAGAGAGAGGUUCGGUGAGAGAGACCCUCACAUUAUGAAUGAGAUAAAUUCAUAAGCCGAUAUGCUUUUAUUAAGUCAUUAUACUAAAGAAGUUAUUAAAUUAUUAUCUGGAAAAUAUUAGCUUUUUUAGUUGAUAUUGUUUGCACAAUAUUAUAAUCUUAUAGAUAUCAACCUAUUUAAAAUAGAUUUAGUUUAUUAUUUAUUACUGUUAAAUGCUAGGACUGUCAUUAAAAUAAAGUAAUUGUCAUAAAAUAUUUACUUUAUUAC
ensembl:lncRNA